CCUAAUCCUCGCCCUGGGCCCCACAUCCCAUCCUGACGUCGUCAACCCUAUUCCCCAUCCCGCCUGACCAGUACCUGCCCCCAAUCCCCCAUCUCUGCAACCCUCUGGACCAGACCAUACCAACACCAUACCAACAAAAGACAGCCGCUGCCACCUCCGCCAUUCCCACAUCACUAUCAAGAUAAGGUUUCAAGGCGCAGAUUUCCUGCUGUGCACAGCACGCAAUGCGCCACGUGCGCCGGACGGACCACACACGGUGCAGCUGGAUGGACCAACAGGCUAGGCCCCGGAGAGGAAAAGGGGAGGGAAGAGGAGGAAGAAAGGUCAAACAGAAAGGUUACACUGGGUUUGAAACACAUUUUGAUGCCGGUUUCGAAGUUAGGUUGGUGCUAUGAUAUGAAGCAAUGAGGAGUCAAAGGAAGUUGAAGAGCCGCUGAGCCCUAGUCGCAGGCUCCUUGCAAGGCUGAGCACCCGAGGAGUGCUUUGAAAAUGUACUACUUGCAUAUGGCUGUGGAAGAACGGAAUUGCGUGUGGAGUUGGCAAAAUCAAGUCUCGGAGCGGGUACGGUUCCCUUCGAAACAAGUCAAAAGUUCGGAAAGGGCACUAAGGACCACAACUAUCCAACAGAGGCAUAGUGAUCACCCAAUAAUAAUCACUUUCCGAGUGCGCAGUUUUUUUACGGAACUACACUGACAGUCCCCGCUGCUGUUUGAACGCCCCGCCGUUGAACUUACUGCCAUCCAGGCCGUUGCGAGCACUUGGUGAAGUCAUGUUUGAACUAAAAGAGAACACAAUCUCAGGUCGUCGAGCUGCCUGGGUUCGUCCAGUCGGGCGAAGUCAGCUUUACAGGCCAUGCAUGCAAAGACGGAGAUACUUGGGCUUUACCCCAAUUGCCCGAAUGUACGUGCCGGCGGACUCGUUCAGCGGACAGUCUCCAGAGCGAAAAGCCGCCACUGCGCUCAGGUCUCUGUUUACGUUUGUUGCUGCAAGGUAUGGACUCUUAAAGGACAAUUCAAGUGAGCAAGCAACGCUGUGGGCGGUUUCACG
rnacentral:lncRNA from 1 species